CUCCAGCUCCCCAGCUAUUGUCAUCCACGACCUUAAUUAGGAACAUGCUAGAAAUCACGUCUGGUUUGUCACUCACAGGUGCACAAUUAAAAAGUCAUUUUAUUUACUUUUACUGUUAACUCCCAUGUUCCUCCUGGGUGCUGCUCUGCUUCUGGGAAGCUGGAUUGGCACAGGGGUGGUAUGGGGGGGUGAAGUGGGUGCUGGAGGGCACCCAAAGCAUGACCUGAUGUGAUGUGGUGCCUUGUUUUAAAAAUCAGUGCUGCUCUAGAGGAUGAACUUACUUACUUUUUUUUUUUCUUUUUUUUUUUUUCAGGGACAUCACUGGCUCAUCAAUUUUUAAUUCCUGAGCUUGGCAGCACUGGCUGAAUUAGAAACAGAACAACUGAUUUUAAUGAGCCUCCUGCCACUGGGCCAAGAAACCCAGAGAUGGUCAGUGCUGGGGGCACCCCUCACCAGCAGUCCUGGCUACGAUGCCUUGGGUUUUAUCCAUGCCAACCCCAAAAAUGGGUCCAUACAUGGAUGGAACCUGGCGGCUCCAGGGGUGCAUGGCACGAUCCCCCUCCAAAGAUUCAGGGGUCUGGAAUCAUCCCACCCCAAACCCACAGGUUUUUCCUCAGCAGAGUUAUCCACCCACUGGUGUCCUCAGCCUCCCCCAGCCUGGCUGGGGUCGGUGCUGUGCUGCUGACCUGGCCAGGUGGAGAUGUCAAGGCAAGUCAUUUUUUUUUUUUUGCUUUUUCACACUUUUCAGCUUGUUAACAGCCGUUGUUCCCUCUGCAUCUGUCAGCCCAGGGGAGAACCACAGUGCUUUAGCCCUGUGUCGCCAGGGAGAGCUUAAAUAUCGUCAUUAAAAAAUCCCAGCCUUGCAGCAUCUCCUCAGACAUGCAGGAAGAAACCUUUGCAAUUAGAUUCCCUGUGCACUGGCAGGAGGGCAGGAGUUCUUUCCUUUCCCCCCCUUUUUGUGAUGAGGAUAUUCUGUGAUUUUUUAGGGCAGCAGGGAAAAAGAAAAAAGAGGAGAAAAAAAAAAAAAAGCAGCCUGUUUGAUUUUCCUCAUUAUGUUAAGCCUGGUUUUACUUUCUGAUUGCCAAAGCAUGAUAAAUGGAACAGAGAUUACCUAGAGAUUUUCAAAGAUUUGCUUUCAAUUUGAUUUUUCCUGAGCCUCAUUAAGCCUGCAGGUUUUAUCUACACUUUGUUCUUCCAGGGGAGUGACACGACCACAUAUUAAUAGCCAUAUUUUUCAUUCGUUGAAAUUAAAACCAGAUAGAGGCUUCUCAUGCUUUGCUUUCAAAUCCUAUUUUAAAAAAUAUUGAUCAUGUGUGUGUUGUUUUCCUUUCCCUCUGACACUGCUGGCUCUGGAAAGGACGUUCACCAGGGAAAUGCUUUCAGUCCUGGAUCUCUGAGCAUUACUGGGUGCAGUUCUGUGGAUUAAGGAACAUAUUUUGGAAGCUAUAAUGUAUAGAUCAAAGAAAAAUGUGGCUUUCAACAGAGAGGCAGAUAAGAAAAACAAGAUUUUUAAAGCAGGAGCUCUACAGUUAGGGGGUAUAGAGGAGCUUAGACAAGAUAAGAUAAUCUAUGAUGAGCCCAUGUGCAUCUUUCAGGAGAAGAGUGGCACUGGAAGAGCUCGUGCUCUGUGAUUUUAGGAGAAACAGCCAAAAAUCUCUGCUCCUGAGGCCACCACAGCCCUGGUGCUCCCUCACCCUCUGCCAUCGAGCUGCUCAUCUCCACAGCCCUGCCAGAGCCCCAUCCUGCAAGGGAAAGGGCAUUUCCCAGGGUCCUUUCCCUUGGAUAGGCACACAUGGUUUUUCUCCUCUUGUUUACAAGGGAAUGUUUUCUUUUUUAAAAACAGGGACUGUUUUUGUAGCAGCUCCUGCCCUGCUUCGUAAACCAAACAUUUCCCCAGCACUCUGUGUCUCAGAUGACGUUAUGGUUACUGGAAUGCCAGUGGGAAUAUCCAGAAUGUAUUUCUUGGUGGAGCCUGGGGAUUUUGUGCUGCCUGACUCCAAAUGUGACUCCGAUGGCUCCUUCUGGCUGAGCCAGCUGGACAUGGCUGGUGCUGGGGCUCAGCUGGAGAAGGGUUUGUGUUCAUGUGCCCAAGGCCAGCCCUCACCACCCUGCAGGAGGGGAGCAUCCCCUCUGCUUCCACUGGCUCAGCUCAGGCUGAGACUCAGGGCAGGAUGAAGUUGCCUUUACUGGUUCCAGUCUGGCAGGAGCUGGACAUGUGCUGCUGGUUCUGAUUCUACCCAGUUGUUGCCUCUGCUCCCCUUCCAACGACUUUGCACUCUCUACAUGCAUUUGUGGGAGAGGCUGGAGAGAGUUUUCCCUGUGGAGCACCCUCUCACUAUCUCUGCUAGAUACAGGAUGCCAGAUUUGAUUAAAAUGCUCUGAUCUGCUCUGACAAAUCCCCUGUUCCUAAGUAGAUAAUAACCAGAAAAUCACCCUAAAUAAAUCCUGGGCUCAGAUCUGUGCCCACACUUGUUAUUCUUUUCAUAUUAAUUAGAUGCUUCCUCUUGUCCUGAACUGGGAGCAUCCUCAGCCCCUCGAAGGAGAAAGGAGGCACGGAUUUAUGGCUGCUGAAGGACCAGGUGGAGUGUUGUCUGUAAAAAAUGAGGGUCUAAUUUGGCAGCAUUGAGGCACAAGUAACCAGAAACACCUUGGCUGAGCAGAGAUUAAAGGUUACAGAUAGCUAUAAUCCCAAACUGCAGAGAAAAGUGCUGGGAUACCUUUCCAUCAUACAGAAUCAUGGAAUGGUUUGGGUUGGAAGGCACCUCAAAGGUCAUCCAGUUCCAAGCCCCUGGCGUGGUCAUGCCAGCUCAGUGAAGGCUGGCACCUGGAGGAGAGAGAGGAAUAUGCUGGAAUAACACCUGUUCACUUUUCCUCUCUCUUUCUUCAGUAUCACUGAUCCACUUGAUCCUGAGAUGUCCCUUUGGCAAAGGGGAGUCCUGGGAACCAUCUGCCCCCAGAGCUGGACCAGGUCUUUGCACCGAACAAAAGGAGUUUCACCGUGAGAGAAGUGACACCCCUGCCGGGGGUGGCUGCUGCACUCCUGGGGCCACCAGCCACGUCCACAUCACCCGUGAUCCAGCUUUUCGACCCUCUCCUUCCAUCCGUGAAUCCUCGGCGUGGAUCCAAAGCCUUAGGACGGCAGCGCUGAGCUGCAGAACAAGGGUCCGGCUCGUAAAAUCUGAGAAGAAAAA